GGUUAGAGUGUAGAGGAGGCAGGUAGCCUAGUGGUUAGAGUGUAGAGGAGGCAGGUAGUCUAGUGGUUAGAGUGUAGAGGAGGCAGGUAGACUAGUGGUUAGAGUGUAGAGGAGGCAGGUAGACUAGUGGUUAGAGUGUAGAGGAGGCAGGUAGUCUAGUGGUUAGAGUGUAGAGGAGGCAGGUAGACUAGUGGUUAGAGUGUAGAGGAGGCAGGUAGACUAGUGGUUAGAGUGUAGAGGAGGCAGGUAGACUAGUGGUUAGAGUGUAGAGGAGGCAGGUAGCCUAGUGGUUAGAGUGUAGAGGAGG